GUUUGAUCCUGGCUCAGGAUGAACGCUAGCGGCAGGCCUAACACAUGCAAGUCGAGGGGUAUAUCAUUUCGGUGAUAGAGACCGGCGCACGGGUGCGUAACGCGUAUGCAGUCUACCUUUUACAGGGGAAUAGCCCAGAGAAAUUUGGAUUAAUGCCCCAUAGUAUUAUUUGAUGGCAUCAUUAGAUAAUUAAAGUUCCAACGGUAAAAGAUGAGCAUGCGUCCCAUUAGUUAGUUGGUAAGGUAACGGCUUACCAAGACGAUGAUGGGUAGGGGUCCUGAGAGGGAGAUCCCCCACACUGGUACUGAGACACGGACCAGACUCCUACGGGAGGCAGCAGUGAGGAAUAUUGGACAAUGGGCGCAAGCCUGAUCCAGCCAUGCCGCGUGCAGGAAGACGGUCCUAUGGAUUGUAAACUGCUUUUGUACAGGAAGAAACACUCCCUCGUGAGGGAGCUUGACGGUACUGUAAGAAUAAGGAUCGGCUAACUCCGUGCCAGCAGCCGCGGUAAUACGGAGGAUCCAAGCGUUAUCCGGAAUCAUUGGGUUUAAAGGGUCCGUAGGCGGUUUAAUAAGUCAGUGGUGAAAUCUGGUCGCUCAACGAUCAAACGGCCAUUGAUACUGUUAGACUUGAAUUAUAAGGAAGUAACUAGAAUAUGUAGUGUAGCGGUGAAAUGCUUAGAUAUUACAUGGAAUACCAAUUGCGAAGGCAGGUUACUACUUAUGGAUUGACGCUGAUGGACGAAAGCGUGGGGAGCGAACAGGAUUAGAUACCCUGGUAGUCCACGCCGUAAACGAUGGAUACUAGCUGUUGGGCGCAAGUUCAGUGGCUAAGCGAAAGUGAUAAGUAUCCCACCUGGGGAGUACGUUCGCAAGAAUGAAACUCAAAGGAAUUGACG
rnacentral:rRNA from 1 species